rfam:Gorilla gorilla gorilla genomic chromosome, chr20, whole genome shotgun sequence
GUUGGGCGUGGUGGUGUGUGCCUGUAAUCCCAGCUACUAGGGAGGCUGAGGCAGGAGAAUCGCUUGAACCCAGGAGGCGGAGGUUGCAGUGAGCUGAGAUAAUGGCACUGCACUCCAGCCUGGGUGACAGAGUGAGAUUCUGCCUCAA